AGUGAGCGGCAAAGCUCAAAUUUGAAAUCUGGUACCUUCGGUGCCCGAGUUGUAAUUUGGAGAGGGCAACUUUGGGGCCGUUCCUUGUCUAUGUUCCUUGGAACAGGACGUCAUAGAGGGUGAGAAUCCCGUGUGGCGAGGAGUGCGGUUCUUUGUAAAGUGCCUUCGAAGAGUCGAGUUGUUUG
rnacentral:rRNA from 1 species